GAUGAACGCUGGCGGCGUGCUUAACACAUGCAAGUCGAACGGAAAGGCCCAAGCUUGCUUGGGUACUCGAGUGGCGAACGGGUGAGUAACACGUGGGUGAUCUGCCCUGCACUUCGGGAUAAGCCUGGGAAACUGGGUCUAAUAUCGGAUAGGACCACUUCUUGGAUGUUGUGCAGGAAAGUUUUUUCGGUUUGGGGUGAGUUCGCGGCCUAUCCGCUUUUUGGUGGGGGAAUGGCCUACCAAGGCGUCGGCGGGUAGCCGGCCAGAGAGGGUGUACGGCCGCACUGGGACCGAGAGGCGGCACCGACGCCGACGGUAGGCAGAUGGGGGGAAGAUUGAACCAGGGGCGCCAGGCGGAUGCAGCGAGGCCGCGUGGGGGAAGACGGCCUUCGGGUUGAAGAAACCUUUCGCUAGGGACGAAGCGUUUUGUGACGGUACCUGGAGAAGAAGCACCGGCUAACUACGUG
rnacentral:rRNA from 1 species